UCAGAGGCUUUUCUAAAAGCUACCAAACAACAAUGAUAAAUAGAAAU
rnacentral:ncRNA from 1 species